rnacentral:lncRNA from 1 species
GACAAGUGGCUUCGGGACGAAUUGAGGCGGUUCUGAGGGCAAAAGGGGGUGCAACUCAAUAUUAGGAGGGUGUUCCUAAUGUUUUGUGUACACAGUGUAUAUAAUACAUAUAAUGUAUGUAAUCUCUCUCCGCAGUAACUUCAGGAGCAUUCUGCUGUGAUGUGGUGCUGAAUCCUCAGAUGCCUGGAAACCUUCAGAGGUCGAGGUGCCCACAGGAUCAGCCAAUGAAGCCGUUUCAGAUACAUUGACUCCGCCCUCUGCCCCUGAACAGUCUCCUCCUCCUACCGCACAACAAGGAUCAUGACUAUAACCUUGUCAUUAUAUAUGUAUUUGUAAUAUUUGUGAAAUAAAUGUGUACAAAAU